CCUCCCAUCUCCUGCUCCCUCUUCCAUCUCAUUCACAGUGUCUGAAAUUUAAGAGUUACUUGAUAAAUAUCUCCCAUGUAGGUGGCAGGGACCCAACUACUUGAGCCAUCACCUGUAACCCCCCAUCCCAGGGUCACAUCAGUAGAAAGCUGGGAUCCUAAGCAGUGCUGAGACUCAAAAUUCAGGCACUCUGUUGUGUGAUAUAGUCACCUAAGUGGCAGCUUAACUCCUACACCAAAUGCCCUUCUCUGAGCUUGGAAUUUCUUUUGCUAUAAAGUACACAUUGGGAUAGUUUCUGAACUUUGAUAAAGGUCUGUAGAUGAAAUAAUAGUACUAUAUCAAUAUUAAUUUCCUGAUUUUGUUACUUGCAGGUUAUAGAAGAAAGUGUCCUUGCUUUUAGGAUACAUACUGGAGGUUUUUGUUUGUUUGUGUUUUGCAGUUUUAUUUCAGAGGCAGAAAGAGACAGAGGUCCUGUUCUCUGAUUCAUUUCCCAAAUGCCCACAGCAGCCAGUUCUUGGCAGGGACAAAGCAAGGGACUGGGAACACAAUACAAGUAUCCCAUCUGGUUGACAGGAACCCACUUCCUUGAUACAUAACCUGCUUCCUCACAGGUAGCCACCGGUGAGUAGUUGGAAUUGGAAUUAGAGCCAGGGAUUCAACCCAGGUACUGUGAUGUGGGACACAGGUUUCUUAACUGCUAGGCUUACCACUAACUCUCCAUGCUGGAUUAUUUAAGAAUCAAUGCAGAACCAUCAUCUGUGUGUGUGUCUGUGUGUGAUGGAGGUAGCAUAUCAGAUAAAACAGCCUUUAGUACAUCUGGUUAAAGGGUAUAUGAGAAUUCUUUGUAUUGUUCUUGCAGUAUUUUUUUGUAAACAUGUAAUUAAAAUAAAAUGCAAAGUUGAAAAAGAAAAGCCUAGGUAUAACAUAAGAUCCCUCCCCUUAGAUAUCUCCUUUUCUAACAAGUUUUACCUGCUGUUCUUCUGCACAUCCCCCUGCCUUUUCAAGUGGAUUUGGAGCCCUUGCCCUGUGCACUCCUAGCCUGCAGCCUCUUUGUCACAGCCCCUGCCCCUUAAACUGAGUUGUGGCCUGCUGUUUAUUUCAUGAAACUAUGAGUCCAGGCAAAGAAAGCAUGGAUGCUAACUCAUUGUUCAUAUUUUUAUCACGUGAACCCAUCUAAUGCCUAGCACAGAGAAUAAACACAGUAGGAUUUUAGAGAGAAUAAGGAAGUGGAACUUGGCUUCAUAUUUAAGGUCUGUUCUUCCUGGGAUUGUAAAUUUUGGGCUUGGUUUUUAGUUUAUGUAGCAAGGAUGUAGCACAGGUUUGGGAAUCAGCACACCACGAGUGAAAGCUGAGUGCUGUCACAGCAUGCACGAGGGACAGACUCUUCUAUUUAUUUAUACCUUAGUGCUCUGCUUUUCUACUUAGAGACACUGUGAGUUCAGGAUUUGAGCUCCAUAAACAAAGGCAAACGGACAGUGGACUCCUGUACAGAUGUUUAACCUAAGGAAAUUCCUUUGUAUGUGCUCGGUGCUGAAAAUAAUAUUUUUCUUACACCAUAGCCUCUGAAUACAGAUCAUGAUGGCAUGUGGUGUGCAACUGAAGGGGCUGGACCAGGCCGCAGCAAGGAACCAGGAGCUUCUUCCAGGUCUCCCACAUGGGUGCAGGGGCCCAAGCACUUGGGCCAUCAUCUUCUGCUUUCCAGGCAUAUUAGAAGGGAGCUAGAUUGGAAGUGGAGCAACCAGGGCUUGAACCGGCACCCAUAUGGGUUGCUGGUGUUGUAGGCAGUGACCUUAUCUGUUACAUCAGAACAGCAGCCAUACUUGUUCAUUUUUUUCUUUUGACAGGCAGAGUUAGACAGUAAGAGAGAGAGAGACAGAGAGAAAGGUCUUCCUUUUCUGUUGGUUCACCCCCCCCCCCCCAAAUGGCCGCUACGGCCGGCGUGCUGCGCUGAUCCAAAGCCAGGAGCCAGGUGCUUUCUCCUGGUCUCCCAUGUGGGUGCAGGGCCCAAGCACUUGGGCCAUCCUCCACUGCCUUCCUGGGCCACAGCAGAGAGCUGGACUGGAAGAGGAGCAACCGGGACAGAAUCUGGCACCCCAACCGGGACUAGAACCUGGGGUGCCAGUGCUGCAGGCGGAGGAUCAGCCAAGUGCGCUGCAGCGCCAAUCUACUUGUUCAUUUUUUAAUGGGUGAAGUUAAUGAUUUUUCAUGGGCAGAUUGGUCCAAUCAAGCAAGUUGAUGUUAUAAUAUAGAAACAUAAACAUCCAACUAAUGUUCCUGUUUGUGAUUUUUAUAUUAACUUUCUUAAAGGGUAUGCUUUCUGAUCACUAUUGUACCACUAUUUUUUUUUAAGAUUUAUUUACUUAUCUGAAAGUCAGAGUUACACAGAGAGAGGACAGGCAGAGAGAAAGAAGAGAGGUCUUCCAUCUGCUGGUUCACUCCCCAGUUGGCUGCAAUGGCCAGAGAUGUGCCGAUCAGAAGCCAGGAAACUGGAGCUUCCUCCGGGUCUCCCACAUGGGUGCAGGGGCCCAAGGACUUGAGCCAUCCUCUACUGUUUUCCCAGGCCAUAGCAGAGAGCUGGAUCAGAAGUGGAGCAGCCGGGACUUGAACCGGUGCCCAUAUGGGAUACCGGAGCUUCAGGCCAGGGCAUUAACCUGCUGCGCCACAGCGUUGGCCCCACCACUAUUUUUAAUCUAAUGUUAACUGACAAGCUAGAAACUUUGCUAUUUGAAAAAGAUAACAAUGCUAUAGAAAAUCAAUAUAACUUUUAUCUUUACUAGAAGUUGUAAAAGCCUAUCUAGACAAAUUUCAAAUGUGUGCACAUGGCUGUAGAGAAGAAAUUCCACUACAGAUUUUAACACCUGGAAAACCAAAGCAGAUAUCUUGUUAAAUCUUCUUAAUCUAUUACCUGGUGACCUUGGGUUUUGGCAUGCAUCGAAUUUAGUUCAGAAGUGAAUCUCUGUGAGGAAUAAAAAUUGAAAGUAAGAGCUCUGGCUAACACAAACACAAAAGGAAAAACAUGUCAACUCCUUAAAUCUCAAAAAUAGGUCUUGGAUUCCACCAAGAAUCCAAUUGGAAUAACAGGUUCUUCUAAAGACUGCUAUGAAAGUUAAGCCUCCUAUCAUUUAUGCUAUAGCAUGAAUUGGUUUAAUAACAGGCAUUUUUAUCGCUUUUCUCCUAACACUUAUCUCAGAAGAUGAAACAGUGGUUUUGUUUAGAGGGAAUUGGAGGAGGAGGAGUGAGCAAUUUGAGAUUAAUGGAUAUUUUGGAAAAAGUGUUGACCAGGGAGAAGUGGAUACAUAGAAAAGUUGGAAACAGUCUUCACAUUCUUGGAAAUUGGGGAACAGAUGUAGAGGAGCAGAAGUGAUUAACGCUCAUUGAAAGAACAGAGGGAAUAUCCAAAACAGCUAUUUGCUGCACAACACUGACAACAGGAAACCUACUUGGCACAUAGCUAAAUAACACCUAGGUCACAGUUCUGAAAUGGUCUGCUUUAAGAAUUGUUUGGCUGUUUCUCUUGAAGAAUGGCCUCUGUCCUAAGCAUCGAUAUCUUAGAAUAUAGUAUAUCUAUGAUAGUGCUCAAUAAAUAUUUAUUUAAACAUGUAAUGCUUUGGAAACAUUUUCCGUAACAGAACUUGAUUUGCCAAUAAAGUUUACAAAGAACUUGUCCAAACAGCACUCUGGCCUUAGAAUCAGCCCUUAAGGCAUUUGGAUCUGGCUGAAGAGCCCAUGAGAGUAUUUUAGGCAUGGAAAGCCAAGACACUCUGGCCAAAAAAAAAAACAAAAACAAAAACAAAAAAACCAAAACACCA